rnacentral:misc_RNA from 1 species
GAUGAAGAACGUAGUGAAAUGCGAUAAGUAGUGUGAAUUGCAGAAUUCAGUGAAUCAUCGAAUCUUUGAACGCACAUUGCGCCUCCUGGCAUUCCGGGAGGCAUGCGUGUUCGAGCGUCAUCAAACCCCAUCGUGCAAAUGAAUUAUUUUUUUUGCGCGGAAGUGACGAUUGAGCGAGAAUAACAAAUCCUCUCGCACCUCGUCGAAAUGAUUGCGGGCGGAAUUUGGGAUCGGGUUCCUCGGCGUAGUGUAUCAAUGCAUAUUUAUGCAACUUGCCGCGGAGUUGAGCCUGACCCACGCGUUCUCGCCGUACAAACACCUCAUUACUUUACAAGUUUUUGACCUCGGAUCAGGUAGGGAUACCCGCUGAACUUAAGCAUAUCAAUAAGCGGAGGA